rnacentral:lncRNA from 1 species
CUACCGAAUCAUUAUCAACUUUGUGAGAGGGUCGACCAUGGAUUCACUUCAAGGGUCUUGGUUUCCUCUUCUUCAUAUAAAGCCAUUGCUGUUGUCUGCACAUUGAUUGCCUUCUCUGAGUGUGUGCUUCAGGAUGAUGCACAUGCUUUGAAUCCUUGUCUUGCAGUACUUCAGUAAAGCCACCCCAUUUUAAUAAGAUAGGGAUUCGAGAUAUCAGCAUUUUUAAGUAGUAAAUGUCAAGCUGCAGCAGAAUCAGAUUCGAGUAUAGCCAGUUGGAGUUCUGAAAUCAUCUGGAUCCCCUUUGCUAUUGCCAAAAUCUCUGCUGCUCA